ACGUCUUUUGUUUACAAUACAGUGCAUGAGUCUUAGUUUGUGUACGCUCUUGAAAAAGUUAUUAAAAGCUAUUUUAUCUUAAAUUGUGGAAGUCAAAUUCAUCCAAUUCGCAUGGAAUAAUAUAUGAUUUAUCUAUUUUCGGUGAAAAAGUGCCAUUUUAUCAAUCAGUAGUGAGCAAUUCAUUGAAAAUAACAGCUGGACUUCUACGUCCCGUCAGGCGAGUAGCAUGUUUACAUUGCAAGUUCUAACCUAGCAAUGUUUUGAUGUACAAGACAGACAAUAAUUAUUCUAUUUUUUCGAAGACAUAGUUUUCUAAAUUUAUUCUAGUGCAUUAUAUUUAUUUUCUUAUGUUAGUAACAUAAAAAAACUUCAUAGAGCACUAUAGUAAAUGAGUGAUAGUGCUUAUACAGUCUUUAUUUUUCUUAGGAAAUCUCGUGGUACCGUAGUACAUUAUUAGUUUUUUACUGUUAUCAGAGACUUGUGUAGUAUUAUAUAUUAUCAUGAUUAUUUUUCUGAAUCAACAAAAUGAAGCUGAAGAAGUUGAUAUUGAUGAACCAGGGGGUUUCGCCUCCUGCACCUCCUGUGGGGUGAGAUAGCAGCCUCUGCACUUCGCGCUCCGGCUGGGAGGCGGGCUUCACCCACCCAAUUGCCUUUUACAACUGUAUAGGGGUUACUAUUAGAGGCCGUCUGGAGUAGGUACCUCAAAAAAGCUGCCAAACAACGAAAUUGUCCGGCAUUAAUGGAUUUGAUAAAAUUGAGAUGUUCUAUUAAUCCUCAUUGCGAUCCGAACCCGAGUGGGCCAAGGCAUUAGAAUAUGAGGAUUUUAAUACAAAUAUCCUACCCGAAUGGCAUCUUGGUAUAUUUUCAAGAAAGACAAUGUUUUCUGCACCUGUUACCAUCUGAAGAAAGUGACUGACGAUUAUUUUGCUAAAGACCAGGAGCAGAGAGGCUAUGUCACAUAAACCUCAAAUUGAAGAUAAUAGCAGUCCUAUUAGAAAUUAAAAAUAUAUAUUAAGUAGUUAUAAUGUGAAAUUUAAUUUUUUGUAAUAUUUAAUAAAACUCGGUGCAUUUUAUUGAAGAUAAUGUUUU